UACGUAGGUGGCGAGCGUUGUCCGGAUUUACUGGGCGUAAAGGGUGCGUAGGCGGCUUUGUAAGUCAGUGGUGAAAUAUGGCAGCUCAACUGUCAAGGUGCCAUUGAUACUGCGGAGCUUGAGUACAGAUGAGGUAGGCGGAAUUGACGGUGUAGCGGUGAAAUGCUUAGAUAUCGUCAAGAACACCUAUAGCGAAGGCAGCUUACUAGGCUGUAACUGACGCUGAGGCACGAAAGUGUGGGGAUCAAACAGG
rnacentral:rRNA from 1 species